rnacentral:rRNA from 1 species
AUGGACCAAUCCAUCCCUUUUUCCCGUGCAUAUGCAUCGGACUCGGAUGACGAUGGUCCCGAUGAAGAAGUUGAUGAGGAGGGGUUCACGCCGAAGGAGGCUGAAGCAUUCAAGAAGGUAUUCGGGCGGGAUCACAAGACACCAUUGUUCAAGGAUCUUAGUCUCGCGGAUGAAGCCGUUGUGGAUGGUGGCAAAUGCAUAUCUCUUGGAGCUAGGCCAAGUUCUCACCGUGAUUUGGAAGACGGCAAGAACGGGAUAUAUCCCGGUUGUGAGUUUCAAUCCUUCUUGAAAUUGAAGAUGUGGCUCGAUAACUACUCGGUUACACAUUAUCGUCCACAUAAAGUGGCCAACUCGGAUGUUAAUGUGCGUUACACGGUCAAAUGUGAAGUGCCAACAUGUCCAUGGAUUGUGCGUGCAAGGCCAUGGAAAGGAGGUCCCACUUGGCGCAUAGUGAGUUGUCUACCAACUCACAUGUGCCGGCACAAGAAUGCAGAUGGCAAUCUUGUGCACCAACAACACAGACAACUCACGUCCGAGUUCAUUGCUUACAGGCUGUCCAACCAAAUAUCCACACUUCCAAUAAUGAGCAUCAAGAGUGUCAUUGACCUUGUGAAAGCCAUCUUUCAUUACAAGGUGAAGUACGGCAAGGCAUGGAAGGCGAAGCAAGCCGCAUUCAAGAUGUUGUAUGGCAAUUGGGAGGAAGCAUACAACCGACUCCCUAGGUUGUUGUUAACUAUGGCCGCCACAAACCCAGGCAUGGUUCACGUGGUUGAGCCUCAUGGGCACCAAACUUUGAUUCAUAACGGGAGGACCGUCUGA